AUUGCCUUAGUAACUGCGAGUGAAGCGGCAAAAGCUCAGAUUUGAAAUCUGUCGCCUUUGGCGGCCGAGUUGUAAUCUGGAGAGGCGCCUUCUGGCAGGCGGCCGGUCAAAGUUCCUUGGAACAGGACGUCAGAGAGGGUGAGAAUCCCGUAUCUGGCCGGCUUGCCCUGCCGUGUGAAGCGUCUUCGACGAGUCGAGUUGUUUGGGAAUGCAGCUCAAAAUGGGUGGUAAAUUUCAUCUAAAGCUAAAUAUUGGCGGGAGACCGAUAGCGCACAAGUAGAGUGAUCGAAAGAUGAAAAGCACUUUGAAAAGAGAGUCAAAAAGUACGUGAAAUUGUUGAAAGGGAAGCGCUUGAGACCAGACUCGAGCUUGGGUGAUCAGCUGCGGUUCUCCGCGGCGCACGCGCCCCUGCUCGGGCCAGCAUCGGUUUCGGCGGCGGGAUAAAGGUCGGGGUAAUGUGGCUCCCCCCGGGGAGUGUCUAGACCCCGGCGUCAUGCCGCCUGUCGGGACCGAGGACCGCGCUCCGGCUAGGAUGCUGGCGUAAUGGUCUUCAGCGACCCGUCUUUGAAACACGGACCAAGGAGUCUAACAUCUAU
rnacentral:rRNA from 1 species